rfam:Sodalis praecaptivus strain HS1, complete genome.
AUCAAUGACUCGGGGUGCCUCGACCGCCAGGUUAAGGCUGAGAAAUACCCGUAUUACCUGAACUGGAUCAUACCAGCGUAGGGAAGUCACGGUAUCCAUUC